rnacentral:lncRNA from 1 species
GUGCAGAUGAAAAAUGGCAUUGCUGUUCUUAUUUGAUUACAGUAAAACAAGUAACAUUACUGUUAUUGAGUUAUUUAGGGUACUUAUCCACUCCAAAUACAUUUUUAUCACUUUCCAGUAACUCAUAAGACUCUUGAUAGAAUAUUGAUGAGGUAUAGUGUAUUUUGAAUGAGUUAGGAUAGAAUUUAGCUUUGGCCGGGCCAUCCAAUCCCAGCCCACUACACUGUCCUUCCUCCCUCUCUUUUCUCCCUUCACACCUGGAGUAUGUGUUGUUCUACUGAGAACAGAAGUGGUUCCCUCCAAUAUGAUCUGACUCUUAAUAACGUUAUUUAGCUGACAUGUCCCAUGUCCAUGCUACAUGAUUCAGACCCCAUGAUGCUGAAAUGUCAGUGUGACCUUAUUUCCCUCCCCCACCUCCCUUUUGAAUUACCAAUGUAGUGUAGUGCAGCGCAGCACGUGUGCUCGUUUCUGUGUGUGUGAGAGAGAGAGAGAGACAGAUUACCCUGUACUUUUAAUUCCCCGUCAUAAUCCAUGGAUCUAUUAACCAUGGGCCUACAGUAUUAACCUCUGGUGGGUUUGGUGUGGUAAUCCACAGUUUGUGUUGAUUCAACCAGUGUUUGCCUAGUGGGUAGUUUGUGUUGGGAUGGUCACAGGUAGAUCUGUAACAAUCGCAGAUAGAGAGACAGAGCUGGAAAAGGAAUCAGCCAUGACUAACCAGUGACCAGCCAGUCCUGGAGCCUUACAUGCUGACCAGAGCGAACAUGUUGUGUGCGCAAGGGUUGCAAAAUAAAUGUACAUAUACACAUUAUUCAGUCAUUGCACUCACACUGCUCGUGGGCAUCAGCGAGCGACUGCAUGGCCAGGCGCUAAAAUAGAAAUCGGUUCUAUUUGGGACGCUCAACAUGCUGCCAGUCCGGCCUCUCCCAUCUCCUCAUAGGUUUUUAAGAGCAUAUACCCACGUGCCAUCUCCUCAUAGGUUUUUAGAAGCAUAUACCCACAUGCCAUCUCCUCAUAGGUUUUUAAGAGCAUAUACCCACGUGCCAUCUCCUCAUAGGUUUUUAGAAGCAUAUACCCACGUGCCAUCUCCUCAUAGGUUUUUAGAAGCAUAUACCCACGUGCCAUCUCCUCAUAGGUUUUUAGAAGCAUAUACCCACGUGCCAUCUCCUCAUAGGUUUUUAGAAGCAUAUACCCACGUGCCAUCUCCUCAUAGGUUUUUAGAAGCAUAUACCCACGUGCCAUCUCCUCAUAGGUUUUUAAGAGCAUAUACCCACAUGGGUGAUUGAAAGAUUAAUUUAGGUCCACACUCCGGUAGGUUGUAGUAAUGCUGUAAAGUUGGUUGCCAACUGCCAUAUUAAGUCAAAAAUAACAAGAAGAAGCCUGAGGAAGGAGGAGAGAUGACAAGAAAGGAAUUCGGUUUACAGUUUUAUCUGUGGAUUAAUUGUGGGUGUAGAGGACCUUGUGCAUUUCAGGUCAAAUAAGAACCCAAUGUUUGUAUCCCAGGACAAAUUAGCUGGCAACAGCAAGCUAGCUAGCUAAAUUGUCAUAAAUGUUUAAUGAUUUUCG